CUGCAGCCCGAAUGGUGAUCGAUUUUAUUGAGCCUAAAGCGUCCGUAGCCGGACUAAUAAAUCCUUGAGUAAAUCGAACGGCUUAACCGUUCGAAGUUCGGGGAGACUGUUAGUCUUGGAACCGGGAGAGGUCAGAGGUACUUCGGGGGUAGGGGUAAUAUCCUGUAAUCCUUGGAGGACCACCGGUGGCGAAGGCGCCUAACUAGAACAGAUUCGACGGUGAGGGACGAAAGCCAGGGGAGCAAACCGGAUUAGAUACCCGAGUAGUCC
rnacentral:rRNA from 1 species